rnacentral:rRNA from 1 species
AGAGUUUGAUCCUGGCUCAGGAUUAACGUUGGUAGUACACACAUCCAAGCAAGUCGAACGGGAUUGUAGCAAUACAGUUCAGUGGCGAACGGGUGAGUAAUACUUAUCUACUAGCCAAUUAGUGGGGGAUUAAAUACCGCAUACUCUGAUUUCGGUCAGGAAAGGGUUCCGCAAGGACUCGCUAAUUGAGAGGGAUAAGGCGUAUUAGCUAGUUGGUGGGGUAAUGGCCUACCAAGGUAAUGAUGCGUAGCCGGCCUGAGAGGGUGAACGGCCACAAGGGAACUGAGACACGGUCCCUACUCCUACGGGAGGCAGAAGGAGGAAACAUCCCGCAAUGGACGCAAGUCUAACGGAGUGAUACUACGUGAAGGAUGAAGGUCUAAGGAUUGUAAACUUCUUUACUAGUAAGUACUGCUUUCGGGCUUGCUUGCUAGCAAAAAGUCACGACUAACUAUGUGCCAGCAGUCGCGGUAAGACAUAGGUGGCAAACGUUAUCCGGAAUUACUGGGCGUAAAGAGUGCGUAGGUGGUUCAAUAAGUUACUGGUGGAAAUCGGGGCCCAACCCCGUGGAAGUUGGUAAUACUGAUGAACUAGAGGACCGGAGAGGUUAACGGAAUUCUAUGUGUAGCGGUAAAAUGCUCAAAUAUAUAGAGGAACACCAAACGGCGAAGGCAGUUAACUAUUCGGUGCCUGACGUUGAGGCACGAAAGCGUGGGGAGCAAGACGGAUUAGAUACCCGAGUAGUCCACGCCCUAAACGAUGAGUACUAGAUAUUGGGAACUUGAUUUUCAGUGUCGCAAGAUAACUCGGUAAGUACUCCGCCUGGGUAGUACGGUCGCAAGGCUAAAACUCAAAGGAAUUGACGGGAACUCACACAAGCAGUGGAGCAUGUGGUUUAAUCCGAUAUGACGCGUAGAACCUUACCGGGGCUUGACAUGUUCGGCAAAACUAGGGAAACCUAGCGGAGGUUAUCCGGACACAGGUGUUGCAUGGCCAUCGUCAGUUCGUGUUGUGAGAUGUAUGGUCUAGUCCUAUUAACGAACGAAACCCUUGUGCUUAGUUGCUAACAGGUAAGGCUGAGGACUCUAAGCAGACUGCCAAGGCAACUUGGAGGAAGGCGAGGAUCAAGUUUGGUCGUCAUGGCCCUUAUGCCCCGGGCGACACACGUGCUACAAUGGUUAGGACAAAGCGUUGCUAACUCGCGAGGGUGCGCUAAUCGCAAAAACCUAACCUCAAUUUGGAUUGGAGGCUGAAACUUGCCUCCAUGAAACUGGAAUUGCUAGUAAUCGUGAAUCAGCCAUGUCACGGUGAAUAUGUCCCUGAGUUCUGUACACACCGCCCGUCAAGUCACGAAAGUCGGUAAUAUUUGAAGUUGGUCUGCAAAGGCUAAUUAGGGUAGGAUCGGUGAUUGGGGCUAAGUCGUAACAAGGUAGCCGUAG